GUGGGGAAUCUUGCGCAAUGGGCGAAAGCCUGACGCAGCCAUGCCGCGUGGAUGAUGAAGGUCUUAGGAUUGUAAAAUCCUUUCACCGGUGAAGAUAAUGACUGUAGCCGGAGAAGAAGCCCCGGCUAACUUCGUGCCAGCAGCCGCGGUAAUACGAAGGGGGCUAGCGUUGCUCGGAUUUACUGGGCGUAAAGGGCGCGUAGGCGGACAUUUAAGUCAGGGGUGAAAUCCCGGGGCUCAACCUCGGAACUGCCUUUGAUACUGGCUGUCUUGAGUUUGGGAGAGGUGAGUGGAACUCCGAGUGUAGAGGUGAAAUUCGUAGAUAUUCGGAAGAACACCAGUGGCGAAGGCGACUCACUGGCCCAAUACUGACGCUGGGGCGCGAAAGCGUGGGGAGCAAACAGGAUUAGAUACCCUUGUAGUCC
rnacentral:rRNA from 1 species